GGCUGGGUAGCUCAGUGGCUAGAGCAUCAAGGCUAAUAGACCUCCCAUGUCGCCGGUUCGAGUCCGGCCCCGGCCU
rnacentral:tRNA from 1 species